rnacentral:rRNA from 1 species
GUGGGGAAUAUUGGACAAUGGGCGCAAGCCUGAUCCAGCCAUGCCGCGUGAGUGAUGAAGGCCUUAGGGUUGUAAAGCUCUUUUGUCCGGGAAGACAAUGACUGUACCGGAAGAAUAAGCACCGGCUAACUUCGUGCCAGCAGCCGCGGUAAUACGAAGGGGGCUAGCGUUGCUCGGAAUCACUGGGCGUAAAGGGCGCGUAGGCGGACUCUUAAGUCGGGGGUGAAAGCCCAGGGCUCAACCCUGGAAUAGCCUUCGAUACUGAGAGUCUGGAGUUCGGAAGAGGUUGGUGGAAUUGCGAGUGUAGAGGUGAAAUUCGUAGAUAUUCGCAAGAACACCAGUGGCGAAGGCGGCCAACUGGUCCGAUACUGACGCUGAGGCGCGAAAGCGUGGGGAGCAAACAGGAUUAGAAACCCGUGUAGUCC